AUUUUUUCCGUGUGUUUUAAAAAAGGGGAAGUUAAUUUAGGAGGAGUUGUAACCCUUCGCAGCCUUAAGGGAAGUUACAAUGAUUGGAUUUGAAUUUUAAAUUCAAAACUAAAAAAUAAUUAUAUAGGCGCAAACUUUUUAAUAUUAUUAAUUUACACUCGUACCAAGCUGGACGGUGGCGGCGACGCGCUCAUGUGGGGUAAUGAUUCAAACCAUGGGUUACAUAGGUUCUUCCCUUUGACAAAAGGGGGUGCCUCUUGGGGCCCAAACCCUUAACCAAAUUUAGGUUUUAUAUUCCUAUCACUUUUUACAUAGGAAAUCAAUGUGGGACAAACCUUUAGUUUCACCCAAAAUCCAUACUCGUAGUACCUACUUUGGAGGCCAUUAUUUCAUUCAAAUCUCUAUGGAUUUGAGCAAAUAAAUGUUUGUUCUUCAUCUCUUCAUGGAGGAGAAUACAAAGUAACUUGAACCCACUAAAAAGGACAUGUGAGUCACACCUUAAAGUUGGCUCAAAAGUGGUGUGAACGCCAAAUAUUCCAACAGGAGGCAGUGGCACGAGCCGUGGUCGACGCGGCUAUUUCUGCCUGGAAACACAAGUUCCCUUCCUCAAAGAGAGACGAUUGCACAGAAGUCUUCUUUCUGCAGAAGAGAAGACAAAAACAAGCCCUUGACUGAGAAGAUGAUUUUGAGCGGUUAGACUUAGAGCCUAUAAUCUUGUACGAUGGGCUGUAUGCUGCAGUUUUUAUCUUUUUAUCUCGAAAGAUGUGUCAAAGUAUUUGUUAACGUUUUUUUUGUUGCGUACGGAGCAAAAAUUACUUUAAACAGUUGAGAAAAACUAAUAUUUAAGUAGUUCCAGUAUGAUGACUUUUGGUUUACACUUUCGAAUAAUCAAUUUUUAACACAAAUUCAGCUACAUAAGCACAUACUUGUUGAAUAAACCGAUAGUUUGUGGUCACGGUAACAAAAAUUGAACUUCUAAGGGAAAUAUCCAGUUAUUGGGAAUUUCAAUCCAUGGGAAAGUCUGUAAAGAAUAGUUUUUUUCAUUUCUAUUUCUAUUUCUAUUUUAUUUUUUUGAAAUAUUUUUGAAAAAGAAAAACAGUGACAAGUUCGAAUGUACUAUCAUCGUCAUAUUGUUUUCAUUUUUGUGCAAAAACAACUUUUUAAAUACAUAAGCAUCUGUUUUUUGGUUUUGUUUUUUCUUUUCAAAAAUGCUUAUGAAAACUGAUUUCAAGAACAGUUCAACAAGUUUUGUGUUUUCCGGAAAAUAGAAACAAAAAACAGAAAAUGAGAGUGAUACCAUACAGGUUAACAAGAAGCUUCACUAUUUAGUCAGUGCCUCAAUUUCUCCAACCCGAAAGAAAAAAGGGAAGGCUCAAAUUCAAUUUAAUGGCUUUUGUACUUAAACUUGUGCUCAGUGUUCAUGGCUGACAUUUACUGUCAUGGCCUUGGUGAUUCGAACACGGGUGGGACCUUAACUCUGAUACUACUUUUUAGUCUCGGCGUUCACCAUCUCUCCUAAAACUAAUUGGUGUUAGGGAAGGCUUAGGAUUUUUUUACCUAAACUAGCGUGUGCGGUCAGUUCACGGUCGGUUAGUCAUCCGUAGGGUUACAAGAGUGGAUUGCUUGGUCCCAUAACCUAACACAAAGGAUAAACGUAAUGCCUCCUAUUCUAUUCCCCCAGUAGCUUAGAAAGAUAACACUCGAAAACAAUUUUCCAAAUUCGACAACAUAUACUCAUAACUACCGUUUGAGCCACAAAAACAUGCACUUCAUUCCCACAUCAGGCUGGAUUCUGUGCUGGGCAUCGCCUGAAUUGCUUCUGCAAAAUGGUAAAUAACACAACGCAAAAGUUAAUUAUCGAAUACUUCCAAGUGAAAGAACAUGUAACAAUAAUCAACAUGAGGCAUCAAGCAAUGGGAAGAAUCACGGCCAUGAUUGCCCAUAAAAUUACGUCAUUUGGACUUUGGAAACUUAAACCAACCAAUUUACGUGAAACACCAGAAUAGAAUUUAUGAAAUGCAAGGGCUAGAAUAAGCUUUUGAUCCGAUUGUUGCUCAUAAUAUGAUACCUCAGCUCAAAUUAAAGGUGCUAAGGGGACAUUAAUAAUCCUAUCCUACAGUUUGGCUGAUAUAGAGAUAGCUUUAAAUGAGGGAGUUGGCAAAUUACUACCCAAGGCUAUCAAUAAUACAAAUUACAACUACGUUUGAAUUCUAAAUUCAUUUAUCGCUAUUUACGGUUAAAAUUCAUUUGAAUUAAUCCAACGACUGAGAUUUCAUCUGAAAUUGUUUUUUUCCGUCCAAAAAUAUCGCUUCUUUUUUCUCAAAAAGUGUGAGACCCACCCCCCCCGCAUAGAAUUUUAUCAAUGGAUAAAAAAAACAUUUAAGAUGGCAUAUGUUUUUACCCAUUAAUCAUUUUUUUAUAGAGCUGGCUUACACAACAAAUUAAAAGACACAUUUUUUCUCUCAUUUUUUUUUGUAUUUUACUAAUUUUUUUUACUAUUUGAUUAAAAUUUAUAGUUUUUAAUUAUUUUGAAGAUAGAGUUAAAAAUAUAAAAAAAAUUAUUUAAUUUAAGAUAAAAAUAUAUUAUUUUUUUAGUGAACCUUCUCUUAAAUUGAUAAUUUUUUAUAUUUUAAACUCUUUUACAAGAGAAACAAAAAAGUUAUAAAAUAUUGAUUAAUCUGUGGACAAAAAAUUCACUAAAAACAAUAAAGGUAAAAAAUAAAAA
rnacentral:lncRNA from 1 species